rnacentral:rRNA from 1 species
AUCAACUUUCGAUGGUAGGAUAGAGGCCUACCAUGGUGGUAACGGGUAACGGGGUGUUAGGGCACGACACCGGAGAGGGAGCCUGAGAAACGGCUACCACAUCCAAGGAUGGCAGCAGGCGCGCAAAUUACCCAAUCCCGACACGGGGAGGUAGUGACAAUAAAUAACAAUACGGGGUCCUUUCGGGUUUCGUAAUUGGAAUGAGUACAAUUUAAAUCUCUUAACGAGGAACAAUUGGAGGGCAAGUCUGGUGCCAGCAGCCGCGGUAAUUCCAGCUCCAAUAGCGUAUAUUAAAGUUGUUGCAGUUAAAAAGCUCGUAGUUGAAUUUCGGGAUCAGUACGUUGGUCGUGCCUCUGGUAUGUACUGGUGUUACUGGUUCCUCCCUUCUGAAGAACUGUCAUGUCAUUUAUUUGGUGUGGCGGGGAAUCAGGACUGUUACUUUGAAAAAAUUAGAGUGUUUAAAGCAGGCUCGCGCUUGAAUACAUUAGCAUGGAAUAAUGAAAUAGGACGUUUGAUCCUAUUUUGUUGGUUUCUAGGAUUGACGUAAUGAUUAAUAGGGAUAGUUGGGGGCAUUAGUAUUCAAUUGUCAGAGGUGAAAUUCUUGGAUUUAUUGAAGACUAACUACUGCGAAAGCAUUUGCCAAGGAUGUUUUCAUUAAUCAAGAACGAAAGUUAGGGGAUCGAAGACGAUCAGAUACCGUCGUAGUCUUAACCAUAAACUAUGCCGACUAGGGAUCGGAUGAUGUUAAUUUUUUAAUGACUCAUUCGGCGCCUUACGGGAAACCAAAGUGUUUGGGUUC